GUGACGUCAACUGAGGCAAGCUCCGGCCCACUGCUUCACGACAAGCCGCCUAUCGAGUUCGGAGCGUGUUUCGGAGCUUCAGUGUUAGAGGUAGCAUCACUAGGAAUGGUGGUGUAUUUAUUUGCUGCUGCGACAGAAAAGGAAGAGAAGGCGGUCCACUCGUCCUUUUGAGGCCGAAUUGAGCUCGCCCUCUGGUUUCAUAAAACACACAGAAACGGGAGUCGAAUGUCCCUCCAGAUGAGGGAUGUCCCAUCUCCACCACCGCAGGCCUCUGCCAACAUGGCGACUCUCUGCCAGCCCUCACCUUCUGCAUCUUCAGAGUUGUCCACAAGCAGCUCCUCAUCCCUGGACUGCAGCCUUGUAGCAGAUGAGGGGAGCAGAGCUCCUGCUGUCACUGCGUGAGCGUGGGGUCAAGGUCGGAGCUGAAUAAGUGGAAACCUGAAAAACAGAGAGCCUCCUCCAUGGACACAGAAGAGACUACGUUUGCCUCUGUUGUGGCGGACUUACUGAGAAGGGUCCCAGAGGAAAAAAGGGAUGCUGUGAAAUCCAAAAUGUACAGACUAUUGUAUGAGGCAGCCUACCCUGACACACGGUAGUUUCAGCAUGAAGAAACACUGAGACACGUUUUAAGUCAGGUUGUUUUUUUUUUUUUUUAAGUUUAUUUUGACUUCUUACUUGCAUAAAAACCGGUUGUACUUUGUUUUUUUUUUGUUGUUUUUGUAUUUACUGUGCAUUAAAAAGAGUGUUUUAUUCCCAA